UACGUAGGGUGCAAGCGUUAAUCGGAAUUACUGGGCGUAAAGCGUGCGCAGGCGGUUGUGCAAGACCGAUGUGAAAUCCCCGGGCUUAACCUGGGAACUGCAUUGGUGACUGCACGGCUAGAGUGUGUCAGAGGGGGGUAGAACUCCACGUGUAGCAGUGAAAUGCGUAGAGAUGUGGAGGAAUACCGAUGGCGAAGGCAGCCCCCUGGGAUAACACUGACGCUCAUGCACGAAAGCGUGGGGAGCAAACAGG
rnacentral:rRNA from 1 species